UUGGACAAUUAGGAUAUGGGAAGAAAUUUGGGCUUCGGAAGGGGAUACGUGAUGCCCCUUUGAGUACAGAUGCCGAAGAAGCAGGAGGGUGAAUUAAAAGGCCAUGUUUCAAUAGACAGGUGAUAACAAGCUUUACUUUUAAAGGCUGC